CCGAUCUGAGUAUUAGGCUUAAGAAAUUUCACUAGUCGAAAAAUCUUAUUUUUUGUAGUGUGACCGAUUUUUUCAGAGUUCAUCCGCAAACCAUAUAGCAUGGUCUAAUUGUCAAUCAUCUGGGUUUGUUGUCAAACAAAAAUCAAACAAAUUGAAAAUUUAAAAGUUACAAAAUGUGGAAGACCAAGGAUGCAAGCUUUACCUUUGCAGUUGGCAUGGCGAUGUGCAUUGCCGCAGAAGAGCAGGAGGAGGCGGAAAAAAGGACACAAAGGCGGAAAUAUUCGGUGAUCCCGUAUCUCAAGGAACGCUCCUUCAAAGGCCGCUAUGCUUCAGACGUAAUUUUAGAACUUGGUUAACACCCCAUCCAUUUUCUUCCAUAUGCCGGAAAGCAGCUUCAAAGCACUCUUUGGAUCGGUGGAGAAUACCUUAUCCCCAAACGGAACACCCGGCCAGAUGCCAUACCGCUAAAAGCAAAGUUGGCCAUCGUUUUGGAGUAAAUAGAAUAUAUAUACAUAUAUGUUUAGACUUUGAUACCAUUAUUGUAUUUUAAUAUUGUGAUUUAAUAUUCCUUUGUUGGAUUUCUUGCUUCUGGAGAUCUGCAACGCCAUGUUGGAUCCACUUAUUGGAUCAGCAAGCAACAUUUCGGAAUCGUCCUCUACCACGUUUGCACAGCAAUUUCGACUAAGUUGCAAGGGGAAUUUCCGAAGUGGACCACCGAUAACAUGCUGAGGUGGGCGAAAGACUUCAAGGACGAAUGGAACUUUCCAAGCUGUCUUGGUGCCGUCGACGGGAAGCAUGCGGCGAUUUUUUACAAUUAUAAGGGAUUGCGCUUAUGGCAAUUUGCGACGCUUACUACCGGUUCACUUACAUAGAAGCCGGGGCGUUCGGAAGCGAGGGAGACAUGAACGCUUUUUCCCACAGUACGCUUGAAAACCCCUACUUUUGGAUGAGCUACCGUUUCCAGAGGACAAAGUGAUAAACAGGCACCGAACUCCCUACUUCAUAAUCGGCGAUGAUGCGUUUCCCCUUCAUAAGCGCAUUAUGAAGCCAUACAGUGGCAAGGACCUGCAUAGAAGACCUGCACGGUGGAUGGCUGUGCAACGCACUUUGCUGAGUAACCCGAGCAAGUCUCAGAAAGUUAUUGCAGCCUGUUGUGCCCUGCAUAAUUUUUUGAUGCGGAAAAGUCUUACAACUUACACGUUGCACGAAGUACCGAGCAACGUGCUUGUCGACCUGCGAGCCUGCCGACGAGGUCGCCCCCAAGAUUUCAGCAAGGAAGUUCGAAGCAACUUGAUGGAAUAUCUAAACGUUAGUUCUGGGUAUUCUCAAGUACCUUGGCAAGACGAGUCUGCUGGUGUAUGAAGAAAAUAAAAUAAAACAAGGAAG